CCAGCAGCUGCGGUAAUUCCAGCUCCAAUAGCGUAUAUUAAAGUUGUUGCAGUUAAAAAGCUCGUAGUCUGACCCUUGGCCGGCGUUUUGAGCGUCCGUGGCGAAAGCCACGCGCAUGCGACGCGCUGUUGCCACGUACUUUGGAGGAGCGGGUUGGGGGGGCUUGUCUUUCCCUUCUCGCGAUUCCAAUAGUUUACUUUGAGAAAAAUAGAGUGUUCAAAGCAGGCAUUUUUUGCCUUGAAUACAUUAGCAUGGGAUAAUGAAAUAGGACAUUGGUUCUAUUUUGUUGGUUUUAAGGACCGAUGUAAUGAUUAAUAGGGACAGUUGGGGACAUUCAUAUUCCAUGGCUAGAGGUGAAAUUCUUAGAUUCAUGGAAGAUGAACUACUGCGAAAGCAUUUGUCAAAGAUGUUUUCAUUGAUCAAGAACGAAAGU
rnacentral:rRNA from 1 species